rnacentral:lncRNA from 1 species
UGGAGAAAAGGCCAGAAAAAUGAUCCAGGCAUCACUGGAGCGGCUUUACCAAAACACGAGAACAUGACACGAAAAAUAAUUUGGAUGAAGAUUUCUUGCAGUAAAGACAGUGGCAGUGGGACCUCCUGCUGGAGGUGGCAGCCUUUACUGCAGAAAAUCCUCGUCCAAAUAAUUUUUGCUUUGAAAAAAAACAGUCCAAGCCAUUUGAGAUGAUCUUAAUGGAUCUAUUUUUACUGCCAAUGAAACAGAUAAUAAUCCAGGAUCGUAUUGAUCAUUUCCUAAAAUUUAUUGAGCAAACCUUGUGAAUUACCGACUCAUCCAAUCUGCCCUAUAUUAUCUGGUUUAGUACCGCGCCAUGCUGCUUGAUUAUCUGGAUGGACUGCGGAUGGAUUUCUUGUCUCUGUUUGCUCUGCUGAAUGAAACUCAUCCUACGCAACAUUCACCCCAAGGGGAAGGCAGUUUUAGUGAAACAUAAAGGAGAUUUAUAGGAGAUGUUGGAUCGUGAUUCGAGUAUGGAAGCAAAGAUGGGCUCAGACACCAAGCAUUUAAAGCAAACUUGGAACAAAUAAACACCUAUCACAGAUUCUCGGCCACAACUUCCCAUUCCUUUAUAUUGUGCAACGUAGUGACAGUAAAGAUGCUCCGAUCCCAUUCCUUUAUAUUGUGUACUUGGAACAAAUCCAUAUAUAAAAUAAUCUUACGGUUUUCUUUAGUAGGUAUUGUCGUGGUUUAAAACCUCGAGUCCUGGUUCAGUUUUAGCAUGCGUAGUGUUAAAUUUUAGAUAGAAAAAAAAAGGAGAAGAAGAAAUAGAAGAACAAGAAACGAGACAGAAAUGAACAUGGUUCAGUCAUAUUGACCUACGUCCACGGACACAUAUGCCCGUAAAGGCUCUCUUCUUUAUUGAUAGAUCAUUAUGUGUGCGAUGAUGCGGUCUUAGGGUGUAACGGCCUUAGUUUUAAAGAUAAUCCAAUAUAUGUAAUAUUUAUUGUAUGAGGAUUUAAGCUUCCUCGAAAGGUUAGUUGUGAGUUUUUUCUUUAGGAUUUUUAGGGAUGUAUUUCAUUUAGUUAAUUGUAAUGAACAAUAAUCGCAUGGAUGAAAAGUCCAACACGUUCUUUACUAAUAAUCAAGGAAAAAUCACACAUUGGAGUGGAUGAAUACUACAUAUUAUAAACUAGUAAACAUAUAUUGUCCAAAUGUCUCACGAGUUAUGACAAAACAUAUUUAACUUUUCAAUCCAAGACAACUAAUUAAUAAAAAAGGUGGGGACAACACUUGUGGAAAUAGUUGGAUGGAGAACAUUGCCACGUCAUCAAAUCUUUUUCGUGUUGUGUCUGUGUAUAUGCUUCUUAUGUCGUUGGUUAUGUUCUUAAAACCUCACCACCAAGAAACUUGUGUAAUUCCAAUUUUCCUUUGGGGUUUCCAAGUUUCUUGGGCAGAAAGUGAUUAUGUAAAACAAGUUUUAAAGUGGUGUAUUUGCUCUUGAAAGGUUAAACUCAUAUCAACAUCAUAUUAAAGGCGGCCAAAUUAAGAUCUUUAGCAAGCUCCAACCUUGCAAAACCAAAAAGCCAUUGGUCUAAUACAUGGUAAUGGCCAUGUGCCUUACCCCCAAUAUCCAUCUAAGCUUGUUGAGGGAUGAUGGAUUUUGAAUAUUGUUUUUGUAGGAAACAAGGUUUUUGAAGAAUAGGAGAUAGAACACGAUGGUUCAAAAAAAAACAAAAUCUUAUUCCAAAAAUUUAGUUAAAAUAUAAAUAUACUAAGAAGCAUCGACACGCCUAAUAGAUUUUUGUAUUCAUAUCCGAUAUGUAUGGGGCAUUGAUACACUAUGUACAUGCCCAAAUAUAUAUAGAACACGCUGUGUCCUAAUGAUUUUAUUAAUUCUUUCAUGGGGUCAUGCCUGGAACACACUGGUGACACGCUAGCAACGAGCUACUUUUUACAAUUUAACAAACUUGUUUCGAAAAAUGAUCUCCCAACGGGAGGACAUGGGUUCAUAGAAACCGCCGUCGUAUAUCAAGAAAAAGCCCACAGUAUUAUAAAGGGAGUGACUAAGAUGUGGGAUAUCGUGAGAGAUAAAUUUGACUCCUUAAUUUGAGAUCGCAAACCUCUCACAUGGGAUGAGAUGGAGAUAGAAGUUGUGGCAUCUACAGACAAUGGAACGUUGAUUUGGGGUGAGCACCUUUGGGGUGAUUUGGUUGGAGAGAAGUGCAAGAAUCUUUUGUGGGUAUUUUUGUCUUUGUAAAUAGCUGCAAGGAAAAUGAUACGAGAAUUUACAUUCACAAUAAAACAUAUGCUCGUAACUGGAAUGAGAAAAUAUUCGUAUCAUAUUACUUCACACUUUCAUAGCAUACAAAUUCACUAAUAAGGGUGCAAAACAAUAUAAAUUGGAGAUGCGAAUUCUUGUAAUUUUAAAAUAAUUUUUAAACUAACAAAGAGGGUUUUUUUAAUAUUAAAUUUAGGGGUGGGAUGAUUACUAACCCUACUUGCAAUCCAUACAUAAAAG